CGGAAUUAAACGGUGCCUUCCUACCGGGAUGGUCAUGACAUCAUCCAACCUUUAUCAGAGAAACUUCUUGGAAUAGAUGUUAAUUAACACAGAGAUACAAUGUGAAGACAUCGAAAGACAUUGGAACACUCAGCCCUAUCUCUCCUCAAGGCCUAGGGAUUUAUAUGGAAGAGGAAAGAGGAGGAAGAAAGAGUGUAAGAACUAGAUGUGGUGGAUGACUCCAAGGAAACAGUAUCUUCCAGACACAGUGGGGCUGAUAUACACAUGAACUCACAGAGACCAGCACAAAUUCAAGCCAGACAAGCCCAGACCUUGAAGGCUUCAGCUUCCAGCCUCCAUCUGCUAAGCUAAGCCUAGAAUAUUUCAGCCUCCAAGACUUACUGUUGAAUAAAUUCAUUAUUUCUAUCUCUUUCUGAACUCUGGCUGGCUGGUUCAACUCAACUGUUCUGGCUCAAAUGCCUCUCCAAGUUGACUGAUUCAAAUUGACUUCUCAUGGUUCUGA
rnacentral:lncRNA from 1 species